UUUGAAAAGGGCACCACCCUGCAUUUGAAUGCUUUUGAAUUCCCUUUACCGAUGGAUGCUAAAAUAAUAUGUUUAGUGAAAAUUGUCCCUGGCACCAUGGUUCUGGAGAAGUAAGAAAUAUGUAAAGUUUACACUACAUGCCAGACAAGCUCUUUUGAGCUCAGGUGAGCUAAAAGUAUUCCUGAAAUAAAUGUAAAUCCUAAUUGUAUUCAAACUGUUUUUGAUCAUGAAACACACAGUUACAAUUAAUUUGGAUUGUCUAGAUUUAAUAUUAGAAAGUUCUUUUGUUUGUAUAUUGUGGUGCAUUUAUACAUAUUGACAAUUGAACUUUCUUUUGGUACCAAACUUUUUGACCUUGUGACCUUGACUUUUGAGUUUGAUCUAUUUUAAAGAAAAGUUAACUUUUUGAAUAAGUCAUAUUUUGUACAUAUAUUUCUUAUAGCAAGACCUUUCAUUUGAGAACAUGAUCCAUGACUUUGGGACCUUGACCUUGGAGUUUAACCCAAAUUACAAAACUUAUACUGCAAUCUUCAACUUGCUCAUAACUUUUGAAUAAUGAGUGACAGGGCUGUCAUGUUUCAUCAUGUUCAUGUGUGCAUUCCUUGUAAUAAUAACUUUAUUUUUGGUACUAAAGGUUUUCAACACGUGUAUUGUUUCUUUGUUACUAUCAGAGGCAUAGUGUUUCACAGGCACAUCUUGUUUAUUGAAUGCAGUAUUCUCAUUAAUUGACACUUCUAUCAAUAAAAUAGCUAAAUUAGAUUUUGUCAUUGUUAUAUAUUCUUGCCCUUAAAAAUAAGGAGAAUCCUUUCAGUAACACAUAACACUUUCAUUGGGUCAAAUGCUGUCUGACGUGUUUCAUACUGAUUGUUAGGCCGUUCUUGGCACACUGAUUUUGACUACGAAAAACUCUGUUUACCUGAUUAGGAUAUAGGGCUCACGCCAUGGGUAUGACCGGUCAACAGGGGAUGCUUACUUCUCCUAAGCACCUGAUCCCACCUCUGGUGUGUCCAGGGGUCCAUAUUUGCCCAACUCCCUAUUUUGUAUUCCUUAUAGGAGUUAUGAGAUUGAUCACUGUUUGUUAUCUUCACCUUUCAUGUAACAUUUUAAUUUUAUCUUUGUCUUUUGUUCACGAAGACUACCGGUAUCCUGAAUUGGAUUUGGAAAGGGGCUAGGCAGAAUCUCCUAGGACAUGGUAUGCAGUGUUAAAAGUGAUGGACUGAAGUUAUUGUUCUAAAAUGCACAUGAACCAUUAACCCAAUAUAGGUCUUCCAUUGCCUUUACCUCCAGUGGGAAUGUGGCGUUCAUUGAUUCAACCUGAUUCAUGGACAACCAUGUUGAUCCUGAAACUGUUAUGCAAUUGUUCUCAUCCAAGACCUUUGUCACAGGACAAACUGUCACAAAAAUCAACUAUUUUCCAGCUGAAUCAGAACCACUAUGAGUUUGUUACAUCUGACUUUGGGCUGCGUUCUCAAACACACACUCUUUAAGUCGUAAGGCAGUUGGAUUUGGCACUGGUGGAGGUUGAAAUCAUGGUUCUGAAGAAUGAGUUAUGAUGGAAGUGAUACAAUGAUGGCACAUUUAACAUCAUACCAGAAUUAAAGAGUCAAUAUAAAGGUGAGAUAUGUAACCCACAGGCAUCUUGUCAAAUUAUGAAUAUUAUUUUUUUGAUUUUUUUUUGGACAACUUAUAUACAAUUUUUGUUUGCAACAGGAAUGACAAGCAGCACACUUGAUAAUGAAUUCUUUUGAGCAUUAAUACCCUGAAUUAUGUACAUUGAAAUGUGAAGUUUGUGAAUAUGACAUGCUUUCAGUGCUACAGAUUUGUUAUUACUAAUGAUACUUCAUUUUGUUUAUAAAUUUUGUUAAGGUUACAUAUCUUUGGGUACUGUACAUGGUAAAUGUUUUGGAAAUGCUUUGUAUACUAGAUGCUAAUUUAUGUAUUUGAUUAAGUUUGUGUUCAAAUUGGUAGAUACACAUGUAGGUCCAAUGGGACAGGUGUUUGAUUUAUUUUUAUACUGCCCAUUUACAUAAAAUGAGAAUGUAUAUAUAAAUAAAUGACUUAUAUUACAAACUUUAGAAAUAGGAAAUAAUGCUGCAUUUUUUUUUAUUUCUUUGUAGUCCAAUGGGACAAAAUUCUAAUUUUAUCUUCAUGACUUGAAGUGAAAAUUUUCAUUGUUGAAUAUGACUUACAAUUUAAAUUUCAAACUAUAUUUCCCCCUCAAAAUUUCUCCAUGUGUACAUAACACUGUAAAGCUUAUUUGUAGAUUAUACAGUGUAUGUACAUGUAUGUUGAGUUUGAACCAGUGUGAAUACAUGCACAAUUCAUUCUUAUCAGUCAUGCUUAUAUGCCCAUGUAUGCAUUAAUCUCCCCCAGAACACCCGCAAUAAAGGCCAUUCUGAUCCACAUUUUUAGAAUGGUAGAAAUAGUUUAUUAUUGUAUUGUUGUGCUUUGGUGAGGUAUCCUUCUUAUUUGUAUUUCUCUUUAA